rnacentral:ncRNA from 1 species
AAGAGCACGGUACGAUGAAAGUUGUAAGCUGUGUUCGGGGGGGGGGGGGGGGGGAGUGCACCUUACACAAUAAAAACAUUCAUGCACAUGAUCUUACAUAUUAAACAUUUCCUACACCAU